GAGACACACACGUUUAGGACUUUAAAAAACUGCACGGUGUGUUUGGAGAGACUCACUUUCACACACCAGCCCGCUUAAAAUAAAAUAAAAUAAAACGCAAACCCUAAAACCCAAACUGUAUUUCCCGAUCAAAAUUCAGACUCAAACUUGUGAUUCUUCGCUGCACCUCCAUAUACACACAAAUCAGACUAGCGUGUUCCAACCCAUCAAACAGAGGCGAAAAAAAAAAACCCCUGCAACAGUGAAAACCUCUGUUCGUUCUCUGCAAUAGUGAAGACUGAAAUCUUUGUUCGUCCUCUCCAACAACAGACGAUUUAGAAGCUAUCCCGUCUCUGCUCUUCAACAACAGACAAUUCAGAAGAAUUUAAGUUUUGGGGCCAUCAAAGCUGUUGGUCAACAUUCUGUACUCAGGGGUAUAUUUAUGGAAUUUAUUAAUUUGGUUAUAACAGCAAAUGUUCUUUUGGUGUUACAUUAUAUAUGUUCAAUGAAAUUCCAUUAAAAUUUGAUAUGUAAUCUUCUCAUUAGAUUUUUUCCCUCAUCAUGAUAAAAAUCUGAGCAGUUUUACUAUGGCUGUUUAAAAUAAAAUUUUAAUGGAAAUGAAUAAUUUGGUUAUAAAUAUGGAGAUUAACCCGAAUACUCAAAAGAAAACUAAUUCUAGACAGAACAUGAGAAGAGGAAGAAGAUUAAACCAAUUCUCGGUAGAAUAUAAUUUUGUUUAGGGUUGUUUGUUUUGGUAUUUUGGUAGUAGAGAUUGAAACGGUGUCACCUCACAAUAAACUCUUCAUCUUCUCCUACACAAUAACCGGUUCUUUACAAAUACAAUUUCUUUGUUAUAGUCAACUAAAAUAUUUGAAUUGCUGAAUUUUUUUAUACCAAAGUAAGAGAUUAUAUUAAGUUGCUAGAGUUAGUGCAUCAAAUUAAAUAUAUACUGUAAUUAUUUAGUAAAAUAAUUUGUAAAUGGCUGGCGUGGCAAUUUAAAAUGUGAAUAUUUGAUGUGAGAUUCAAUUUGAUGUAUAUUUUUGUUGUUAGUUCUAUUAUGUGUGUUUUAUUUUUGGUCUUUUGGUUAUGUAAAGGGCUCGGUGUUGAUAUUUGCCUUUCUUAUUGUCAGCUCUUUUAUGGUUUUGUAUGGAGCUUUAAUUUUUGUUGUUUUUUGGUUCUAUAAAUCAGAUUCAGAAAACUUUGGUUUUGUGCCUCUUGAAUUGAAUGCAUUGUUAGAGUUUUGAUCUCAUGAUGAGUUUUGAAGAGUGAUUGAAAUAGUAGAACUUUGAAAUCUGAAAGUGUAAUGUUUUUAAUACAAAGUUGAUUAUCUCUUAGAUUUUAGUUAAUAUUCUACUCUAUCUGCAUAAUUAUGUUUAUUUUUGGGCUGUUACACCAAUAAAUAUGGACAUCUAAAUGCAUCCUAUAGAGACCCCUUAUCACUUUUUAAUCUUUGUGCUUCUGAACGUUUGUUUAUUUAAUUAAUGACUUUUCAAGCCCUUUGGGUAGCCAGAAGCACUUGGUGGAGUCAUGUGGAGCUCUCUAUGUUGUUGGUAGAUGCUUUAAUAAAGAAAGGAGGAGGGUAGAACAUACCAACCGGUAUGUUAGAGACAGUGAUGGUCCCAAAGUGGUUGAUUUCAAAGUGUAAUUAUUGUUUUUGUUUUGGGUAAUGAUUGUUGUUUAUCGAUUUUGGCUGAAGAGUUUACCGGGUAUAAAAGGAAUUGCAUUUUCUUCAAUGAUCAAAAUGAAACUCAUGUUUUCAACUUGAAAGAUAGUAGCUUUGGAGAUUUACAGAAUAUCUAUCCAGCCUGGCUUCUCUCAAUUUUAUUAUAUUUUCUCUUUGACACUUGAUUUGCUGUCAUCUUUAACAACAUGAUCAAAUGAUUAAAAUAAAUAUAUUUUCCCCUUUUGUUCUGAUGCUGUAUUGAGUCAUUUUGGUGAAUAGGUACAGUUUUGCUGCUGGCAAAAUGCAUCCAUCCGAGUCUUCAACACUAGUUGAUGAUGCCCAGUUUGUUUCACUUGCGCUGAUUUGAUUAAAAUCUGCCAUUUUAGGAUCUCAAGGGAGUCUAUUACCUCCACAAGUAGCAUUUUCUUCAGUUGAAAUUGAAUGUUACAAUUUUUUUUUUCUUUGAUUUGGUUAUGAACUAAGAAAUAUGAGUAAGUUUUGAUUUAAGCUUUUUGGUUGGGUUAGUUGUAUAGUGAAAAGGCAUGUCUGUUUUAUUUCAAUGUAAUUUGUCAGGCUCCUCCAUAAAUACCACCAAAGUUCAAUAUGUGAAGUUGUAUUUCUUUUGUACAUUUUUAUUAUAUUUUCACUUUGACACUUCAUUUGCUGUCAUUUUUAACAGCAUGAUCAAAUGAUUAAAAUAAAUACAUUUCCCCCUUUUUUUC